rnacentral:miRNA from 1 species
CACACCUCACGUUUUUGGCUGC